rnacentral:rRNA from 1 species
UACGGAGGAUCCGAGCGUUAUCCGGAUUUAUUGGGUUUAAAGGGAGCGUAGGUGGGCUGGUAAGUCAGUUGUGAAAGUUUGCGGCUCAACCGUAAAAUUGCAGUUGAUACUGUCAGUCUUGAGUACAGUAGAGGUGGGCGGAAUUCGUGGUGUAGCGGUGAAAUGCUUAGAUAUCACGAAGAACUCCGAUUGCGAAGGCAGCUCACUGGACUGCAACUGACACUGAUGCUCGAAAGUGUGGGUAUCAAACAGG